GGGCUGGUAGAUCAGUGGUAGUAUCGCAUGCUUUGCAUGCAUGAGGUCGCGAGUUCAAUCCUCGUCCAGUCCA
rfam:Protomyces lactucaedebilis strain 12-1054 BCR37scaffold_23, whole genome shotgun sequence.